GCGCGAGUGGCGGAACGGAAGACGCGAUGGUUUUAGGUGCCAUUGUCCUUUGGACGUGGGGGUUCGAGUCCCCCCUCGCGCA
rnacentral:tRNA from 1 species